UACGUAGGUGGCAAGCGUUGUCCGGAAUUAUUGGGCGUAAAGCGCGCGCAGGCGGCUUCUUAAGUCUGAUGUGAACGCCCACGGCUCAACCGUGGAGGGUCAUUGGAAACUGGGGAGCUUGAGUACAGAAGAGGAGAGUGGAAUUCCAUGUGGAGCGGUGAAAGGCGUAGAUAGAUGGAGGAACACCAGUGGCGAAGGCGGCUCUCUGGUCCGUAACUGACGCUGAGGCGCGAAAGCGUGGGGAGCAAACAGG
rnacentral:rRNA from 1 species